GGGGCUGUAGCUCAGUGGUAGAGCGUUUGCCUAGCAUGCAUGAGGCACUGGGUUUGAUCCUCAGCACCCCA
rnacentral:tRNA from 1 species